rnacentral:rRNA from 1 species
UGAGGAAUAUUGGGCAAUGGACGCAAGUCUGACCCAGCCACGCCGCGUGAGUGAAGAAGGUUUUCGGAUUGUAAAGCUCUUUCGGAUGUGACGAUGAUGACGGUAACAUCUAAAGAAGCCCCGGCAAACUUCGUGCCAGCAGCCGCGGUAAUACGAAGGGGGCGAGCGUUGUUCGGAAUUACUGGGCGUAAAGGGUGUGUAGGCGGCUUGUCAAGUCGGUUGUGAAAGCCAUGGGCUUAACCCAUGAACUGCAAUCGAAACUGAUGAGCUUGAGUGAAGUAGAGGUAGGCGGAAUUCCCGGUGUAGCGGUGAAAUGCGUAGAGAUCGGGAGGAACACCAGUGGCGAAGGCGGCCUACUGGGCUUUAACUGACGCUGAGGCACGAAAGUGUGGGUAGCAAACA